AUGUCCCGAGGCGCUGGUGCACGGGUGGUGUCGCCCACGCUCUCUACCUAUUCCAUCCUCAUGGACUGCUGCUGCCGUGCACGCCGCCCAGAGUUGGUGGUUGCCUUCUUCGGCCGCCUCCUCAGGUUGGGGCUGCGCUUGGAUAUCAUCUCCUCCAGCAAUCUCCUCAAGGGGCUCUGCCAGGCCAAGCGUUCAAAUGAGGCUUUGGACAUGCUGCUCCACCGGAUGCCCGAACUGGACUGUGCGCCUGAUGUCUUCUCGUUCAACAUAGUAAUCAACGGCUGCUUUAAAGAAGGUGAAGUAGACAAAGCGUGCAAUCUCUUCCAUGAGAUGCCCCAACUGGGAGUUCAACCUGAUGUGGUGACCUACACCUCAAUCAUGGACGCACUAAGCAAGUCCGGAGCAAUGGACAAGGCAGAAGUGCUCCUUCGGCAAAUGGUUGAUCAAGGAAUUGAACCCAAUAUCAAGACAUAUAACUGUCUGAUCCAUGGAUAUUCUACUUUUGGUCAGUGGAAGGCGGCAGUUAGAGUAUUCAAAGAAAUGGCAAGUGUUGGUGUUCAACCAAAUGCUGUCACUUUGAACUCAUUAAUCGAUUCCCUUUGCAAGCACAGAAGGACAAAGGAAGCUAGAGAAAUUCUUGACUCCAUGGCCGCAAAGGGCCUGAAACCUAAUAUCGUCUCCUACUCUACUAUGCUUAAUGGGUAUGUCAAAGAAGGAUGCUUCGAUGAUAUGACUGAUCUCUUCAAUUCGAUGGUACGGAAUGGUAUCGUACCUAACCACCAUAUUUUCAACAUACUGAUCAAUGCAUAUGCUAAACGUGGAGUGAUGGAUGAGGCUAUGCACAUGUUCGAAGUAAUGAGGCAACAAGGAGUAAAUCCAGAUGUAUUUAGCUAUCAAAUUGUAAUGGAUUCACUUUGCAAAAUGGGCAGGAUGGAUGCUGCUCUGGACAAAUUUAAUCAGAUGGUCAAUCAAGGAGUUUCACCUAACAAAGCUGUUUACCAAUGCCUGGUUCUGGGUUCUUGCUCUCAUGGUCAUUUUGUGAAAGCCAAGGAAUUGAUUUCUGAAGUGGUUAAUAGAGGUCUGUGUUCUAACAGUGUGUUCUUCUAUCCUGUAAUAAACGGCCUUUGCAAAGAAGGAAAGGUAAAGGAGGCACAGGAUAUGUUUGACUUCAUCCUAGGUAUUGGUCAGCGGCCUGAUGUGAUUAUGUACACUUCACUGAUGGAUGGAUAUUGCCUUGUUGGCGAGGUGGAGAAAGCACUGAGUGUACUCGAUGCUAUGAAAUCUGCUGGCCUUCAACCUGAUGAUGUUGUAUAUGCUACACUUCUUAACGGUUACUGUAAAAUUGGAAGGAUCGCCGAUGGAUUGAGCCUUUUCAGGGAAAUGUCACUCAGCGGGGUUAAGCCCAUGACUAUUAUAUACAACAUUAUACUGGAUGGGCUGUUUUGCUCCGGGAGAACAGUUUGUGCAAAGGAAAAAUUCAAUACGAUGACUGAAAGUGGCAUACCAGUGGGCGUUGACACAGGGAGUAGUUCUUAG
rnacentral:rRNA from 1 species